UCUGGUGGUAAUAGCGAAGAGGUCACACCUGUUCCCAUGCCGAACACAGUAGUUAAGCUCUUCAGCGCCGAUGGUAGUUGGGUUCGCCCU
rnacentral:rRNA from 1 species